UCAAUUGCAAUUGGAGGGACCACACUUGAAGUAAGGUCGCGAUUUCUUCAAAGCAACAAAACACUUUCCGGAUUUCAUUCAUUCACAAACUACUUUCAAUCUACACCCUCCAUCCAAAGUUAUCAAGGGCUAAGAAGCAACAAGAACAAAUGGCAAGGAUUGAGCUUUCAUGAUCCCUCCAAGCAACUUCAGAAGAAAAAAAAAAUACAGAGAAGAAAGCAGGAGAAGAAAUUAUUAGAAGAAGAGAAUUGUGAUGCAGUAAAGAACUUCUCCCAAGCAACUUCAGAAUCUGCAAUUUCCAGAAGCAACACAAUAAUUUCCCUUUCCAGAAUUUCAGAUUUUAAGAGCAUAAGAGUUAUGAAGAAUUAA